rnacentral:rRNA from 1 species
UACGUAGGGUGCGAGCGUUGUCCGGAAUUACUGGGCGUAAAGAGCUCGUAGGUGGUUUGUCGCGUUGUUCGUGAAAACUCACAACUCAAUUGUGGGCGUGCGGGCGAUACGGGCAGACUGGAGUACUGCAGGGGAGACUGGAAUUCCUGGUGUAGCGGUGAAAUGCGCAGAUAUCAGGAGGAACACCAGCGGCGAAGGCGGCGCUCUGGGCUGGAACUGACGCUGAGGAGCGAAAGCGUGGGGAGCGAACAGG